rnacentral:rRNA from 1 species
AACGAACGCUGGCGGCAGGCUUAACACAUGCAAGUCGAACGCCCCGCAAGGGGAGUGGCAGACGGGUGAGUAACGCGUGGGAAUCUACCUAGUUCUACGGAACAACAGUUGGAAACGACUGCUAAUACCGUAUACGCCCUAUGGGGGAAAGAUUUAUCGGAAUUAGAUGAGCCCGCGUAAGAUUAGCUAGUUGAUGAGGUAAUGGCUCACCAAGGCGACGAUCUUUAGCUGGUCUGAGAGGAUGAUCAGCCACACUGGGACUGAUACACGGCCCAGACUCCUACGGGAGGCAGCAGUGGGGAAUAUUGGACAAUGGGCGCAAGCCUGAUCCAGCCAUGCCGCGUGAGUGAUGAAGGCCUUAGGGUUGUAAAGCUCUUUCAGUAGGGAAGAUAAUGACGGUACCUACAGAAGAAGCCCCGGCUAACUUCGUGCCAGCAGCCGCCGUAACAC